rnacentral:rRNA from 1 species
CCUACGGGUGGCAGCAGUGGGGAAUAUUGGGCAAUGGUCGAAAGCCUGACCCAGCAACGCCGCGUGAAGGAAGAAGGUUUUCGGGUUGUUAACUUCUUUUGACCGGGAAGAGCAGAAGACGGUACCUGUCGAAUAAGCCACGGCUAACUACGUGCCAGCAGCCGCGGUCAUACGUAGGUGGCCAGCGUUGUCCUGAUUUACGGGGUGUAAAGGGCGUGUAGCCGGGCUGACGAGUCCGAUGUGAAAUCCGGGGGCUCAACCCCCGAACUGCAUUUGAAACUGGUAGUCUUGUGUAUCGGAGAGGCAGGCGGAAUGCGCGGUGUAGCGGUGAAAUGCGUAGAUAUUGGGAAGAACACCGAUGGCGAAGGCAGCCUGCUGGACGACAACUGACGGUGAGGCGCGAAAGCGUGGGGAGCGAACAGGAUUAGAUACCCUGGUAGUC